GAUGAACGCUGGCGGCGUGCUUAACACAUGCAAGUCGAACGAAGUGGCGAACGGGUGAGUAAUACGUGUGUAACCUGCCCUCCUUUUUGGGAUACGCCUUGGAAACGGGGUCUAAUACCGAAUAAAUGGUGAUUGGCUCGCGGCCUAUCAGCUUGUUGGUGGGGUGGUGGCCUACCAAGGCGGUGACGUGUAGCCGGCCUGAGAGGGUGACCGGCCACAUUGGGAAUGAGAUACGGCCCAGACUCCUACGGGAGGCAGCAGUGGGGGAUAUUGCACAAUGGGCGAAAGCCUGAUGCAGCGACGCCGCGUGUAUGAAGAAGGCCUUAGGGUUGUAAAGUACUUUCAGCGGGGAGGCGUUACCCGCAGAAGAAGCACCGGCUAACUCCGUGCCAGCAGCCGCGGUAAUAC
rnacentral:rRNA from 1 species